GCGUUACCUACACUGCCUAACCUCUUGCUCCUCUAUCUCUGUGUUCUUUCAGAGUUACAUGCACAAGUGACCAAAGACAUCAGUGUCUCAGGAUCUUGUACCUGCAUUCAUCUGAACUGCAUAUUGUCAACCGGAAACCCUGAAAUGAUCAAGCCGGUGUCUAUUCCACAAGGUACCACCAGCUAAAUCUAUGAUGUUAAAAUGCCUAUUUACUCUACAAUCUGACUGUGGAAUCCACCGUCUCAUCAGCCCAUCAACCCUGUAACAUUAUUUUUUAAUUUAAAUGUUUAAUUUAACUUUAUUUAACUAGGCAAUGAUUGUUUUGUAAAUAAAUGAUAUUUUGGCAAACAUGUUGAAGGGGACUUUGAUUCAUGGUUCUAAUCACAUACACUGUACAUGAAAGUGUAACACCAGCCUGGUCACCCAUGAGACAAGUCAGUAUUCAAUGUUUUUCCA